rnacentral:rRNA from 1 species
ACACGCAUGACACACUGCAUAUCAAUAAGCGGAGGAAAAGAAACUAACAAGGAUUCCCUUAGUAACGGCGAGUGAAGCGGGAAGAGCUCAAAUUUGAAAUCUUCAAGGUUCUACCUUCGACGAAUUGUAGUUUAUAGAAGUGUUUUCUGUUAGUAGAGUGGCAAAAGUUCUUUGGAAUAGGACAUCAUAGAGGGUGAGAAUCCCGUAUUUGGUCAUUCUUUCUAGCUUUGUGAUACACUUUCAACGAGUCGGAUUGUUUGGGAAUGCAGUCCAAAAUGGGUGGUAAAUUUCAUCUAAAGCUAAAUAUUGGCGAGAGACCGAUAGCGAACAAGUACCGUGAGGGAAAGAUGAAAAGAACUUUGAAAGAGAGAGUUAAACAGUACGUGAAAUUGUCCAAAAGGGAAGCGUUUGACACCAGUGUUGUUUUUUCCGAAAAUCAAUUACGAAUGUUUUGUUUUUGAGAAGUUAUGACUUCAUCGGCUUGCUUCUCUCUUUACGAAACUUUCUUAAUGCACUUUUCGGUUAACAAGUCAACAUCAAUUUCUUUUGUUGUAAAAGGGUAUGAGGAAGGUGGCUUUCUUUUCGGAGAAAGUGUUUAUAGCCUUGUACCUCUGCAAUCGGAGAGAUUGAGGUCUGCAGCGUAGAUCCUUCGGGGUUAGAUACAUUUGUGCUAAGUUAUAGCUUUUCAUAGACAACUUGUUGACUAUGUUUAGUCUUGUAGCUUACUCGCUUAUGCUAUUUUACCUACGCUUAGGAUGUUGACUGAUAUGUAGUCGUA